rnacentral:rRNA from 1 species
AGUCGAGCGAACGGACGAGAAGCUUGCUUCUCUGAUGUUAGCGGCGGACGGGUGAGUAACACGUGGAUAACCUACCUAUAAGACUGGGAUAACUUCGGGAAACCGGAGCUAAUACCGGAUAAUAUUUUGAACCGCAUGGUUCAAAAGUGAAAGACGGUCUUGCUGUCACUUAUAGAUGGAUCCGCGCUGCAUUAGCUAGUUGGUAAGGUAACGGCUUACCAAGGCAACGAUGCAUAGCCGACCUGAGAGGGUGAUCGGCCACACUGGAACUGAGACACGGUCCAGACUCCUACGGGAGGCAGCAGUAGGGAAUCUUCCGCAAUGGGCGAAAGCCUGACGGAGCAACGCCGCGUGAGUGAUGAAGGUCUUCGGAUCGUAAAACUCUGUUAUUAGGGAAGAACAUAUGUGU